rnacentral:rRNA from 1 species
GACGAACGCUGGCGGCGUGCCUAAUACAUGCAAGUCGAACGCAGUGGGGACGGGUGAGUAACACGUGGGUAACCUCCCAUCAGAGGGGAUAACACUUGGAAACAGGUGCUAAACCGAUACUGCUGGAUGGACCCGCGGUGCCUUAGCUAGUUGGUGAGGUGACGGCUCACCAGGGCCACGAUGCAUAGGCGAACGGAGAGGGUAAGCGGCAACAAUGGGACUGGGACAGGGCACAGACUCCAACGGGAGGCGACAGUAGGGAAGCGUCGGCAAGGGACGAGAGUGUAACCGGGCAACGCCGAGUGAGUUGAGAAGGUUUUCGGAUCGUAAAACUCGGUUGUUAGAGAAGCGGUAUCUAACCAGAAAGCCACGGCUAACUACGUGCCAGCAGCCGCGGUAAUAC